AUUAUAAUGAUGGUGGGUUUCUAGUAACAAUCCUAGGUCAGGAUUCAAACAGGUAAAAAUAAGAACUUAAGAGCCCUACUCGAUCAUUGGGUCAAGUAUAACCAACAUGUGACAAUAUUAAGAACUAAAAUGCAAUCAACAGGGGAUACAAAUAACAGGUAAAUAAAAGUGCAAUCAGGGGGUGAAUACCAAUAAAUCUAAGAAGAAUAGAUGUCCUAAGGAUGGAUUCAUUUAUAAGGGCAACUCUAGGGUUCAUCAAGAGGCUAACAGGUGAAAGGUAAAUACCCUAGACGAUAGAUUCAAAAACCGGGUCAAUCCACUCUCGUGAUAGAGACCCCCAUAACUCUACCACUUCCUAAUAUCAACUCUCGUUGAUGAAACAUAGCAGAGCAAGGUUUAAGCAACAAUCUACCAAAGCCAAUAAGCAGACUAGCCACUCUCUUGGUCAAGUCUACAAAUCUUUGGAAUUCGUAGAUCAGACAUCCAUUUGAACGUCUUUUGGACGCUGGACGUCUAUGAUCGAAUCUCCACAUUAACCAGCGAUCGCAUAGGGGCCAAGCGAAUCCAAAAGGGCUCUAACCUAAUCUUAACCACCUGACUAACCUAGAGAUUACCCUAAUCUAAUCCAUCCUCAAGAACCCUAAUCACUACUCAAGCAACAUAACUAAGAACACAAACCCUGUAACUACGGAAAUCAUACCAAAAUGUAGAUCUAAACAAGCUAAACAACUUUACUUAAAGAACUAAAUACAAAAACGAAAUAGAUUAAGAGUAGUUAAGUUUUGAAGAUUCAAGAACAAAAAGAAAAACUAAAGGAUAAAAGCUAGAUCCUUUGGACAAAUCCCAAAGUGAUCUAUUGAUAGUAAAAUGUUGAAAACCCUAGAUUCACUAGAAUACAAGAGACUUGAGGCGGUUUGGGCGAGUGCUUGAUCAUGGAGAUCGAGUAAAGACGGCGCUGCAAAGUCUGCGCCUUUGUGUCUAUGCUCCGAGUGAUCAAUUGGUCGAGUAGAUGCUUCUUCCUCUCCUAUCUGUAUGCUCAGAUGUCUGGUUGAGUGGAAAAUGAGGAGGAUCCGAAGACGCUUUGAUAGAUCAACAAGUCUGGUAGAGUUGGUCACCCUUGGUCGAGUAAAUGGGUCGAGUAGAGGAUCGAUUACAAGGGGCGAUUAGAUCGAUCUGCUGCUUCUUAUGAGGCUGCCUUGAUCGAGUAAGUGGGUCGAGUGAAUUGUUGCCUCCUCUAUGACUGCCUAGAUCGAGUGAAUGGGUCGAGUAGAAUUCUCUGAUGCUUCCCUCCUGGUUGGAUAGAGUAGAGGGUCGAGUAAAAUCCUUUUAAGCUCCUGCUACACCUGAAAACACACCAAAACAUGCAAUAUGUAUGCAAGAUGAUUCUAAAUGCCUAAGUGUGCAAAAUAAGC
rnacentral:sRNA from 1 species